rnacentral:rRNA from 1 species
CAGAGGUCCCAAGCGUUGUUCGGAUUCACUGGGCGUAAAGGGUGCGUAGGUGGUCGGGUAAGUCUGAUGUGAAAUCUCGCAGCUCAACUGCGAAACUGCAUUGGAUACUAUCCGGCUAGAGGAGUGGAGGGGGACUGGAAUGCUCGGUGUAGCAGUGAAAUGCGUAGAUAUCGAGCGGAACACCAGUGGCGAAGGCGAGUCCCUGGACACUUCCUGACACUGAGGCACGAAAGCUAGGGGAGCAAACAGGAUUAGAUACCCUGGUAGUCCUAGCUGUAAACGGUGCUUAUUUGCUGUAAAAGGAAUCGACCCUUUUGUGGCGUAGCUAACGCGUUAAAUAAGCCGCCUGGGAAGUACGGUCGCAAGAUUA